CAGGUCGGUGCCGAGCUGGGUGAAGCCGGAGUUGAGGCAGCCGCGGGCUAUGCGCCUCCAGAGGACGUCGCGGCUAGUGAAGAAGCGCAGGCGACGGCAGACCUGGCCCAGGCGGCCCAAGGCCUGCGCGUCCAGGGAUGGCGGUUCCAGGUAGCCAGAGCAUGUGCUGCACCACCUGGAGAAGCCCCUGCUGGGCGCAGCACCCCUGCGAAGGAAGGUGAAGAGCAAGGAGCCUGGAGUACUGACAGCACAGAAUGAUCCUGAUCCAAAGUGGCAAAGCUGCUCUCCACAGACAGUGGAGCAGGAAAAUAUGAGUAUAGUGUUGUUAUUCAUUCCUAUAGCAUUUUCCACUCUACGGAAGACUGAAGUGUUUGAGGAGAUUUCUCCCUCAAAAUUAAAUGAUAAAUAAAUUGUAAGAAGUUCAUUAUCUGCCUAGAAUGCUUUGCACAGGUAUCACUUAUCCACCACAGACUGCAUCUCCUCUUGCACAGUGGAGUAGGAAAAUAAAUUUCAGCGUAUAAUGAGGUUACCAUAGCAGACAGGCCUUUAGACAGUACUUAUGUUGUGUUCCACAAAGUCAUCUUGUCUGUACAGUCUCAAGCAUUCCAGUAUCCACAGGACUAAAUCACCAGCUCUGGAAGCCUUGUAUUCUAGAGGUUCAGAGCUGCUGGCUGAGGAACUGUCCGGCCCAUUUACAUUGGGUUUUAAUACAACCUGGAACUCAGGGAAGUUCCAGAAGACCAGAAGGCAAAUAUUUUAUCAGCAUUUAUAAUGAGCGAAUCAGAUGGCCUAAGUAAUUAAAAGAUUUCUCAGCCUAAGUUUUUUCUCAGGUAAAAUAACAGCACAUCUGGUACAGAACUUAAGUAGCCAGUUGAAAGGGAGGUAAUAUAAUGAACAUCACUUAAGAUGAGUUUACGGAAAAUUGGCAUGAAUGCAGUUUUGUAUCAAAUUAACUUGGUAUCUUUUUGAUGACAUUAAAUGUAAGUAAAUAUAAUUAACUUUUUUGUAGUCAACUGACAGUGUUUGAAACAUUAAAUAUAUUAAAAGCCAAAUAACUUCUCAGUCUUAAGUUGUUAGUGCAAGUAUAGAUUUUAUCAUCAAGUUGGUCUUUUAUAGUGGGUCCCACAGAGACAGUUUGUUGACCCUACAUGAUUUAAUAUUUUUAUUAGUGACCUAAAAAAAAAUCUGAAAUUGUUAUUAGCAAGGCUCUGUAGAAAGCAUAAAGCCUGAGGGAAGAGUAAAUCAUGCAAAGGAUGCUCAUGGCUGCAGAACUCCAUGUUAAGUUCAGGCAUAAUCAGAUUGUAUGUAUUUCAAUCAAGCCAAAUGUAAAGUCUCACAUCUAGGAACAAAGAAUGUAGGUCACACUGAAAGGAUGUAACUCUAUCCUGCAAAGCUGCAAUUCCGUAAAGUCUUCAUUAAGAUGAAUAAUCAGUUGAACGUGAGCUCCUUCUGCAGUGCUGUGACCAAAGGGCUAGUGCUGUCUUGGGAAACAAACAAGAGCUGGGAGGUUCUUUUAGCUCUGGUUUUGACUCUGUUGUGGCUGCUUUGGAAAUAAUUUGUCCUGCCAACAUUUCAAGAAGGAUGUUGAAAAACUAGAGGGGUUUCAAAGAAGAGUAGCAAGAAUGAUUACAGGACUGUCAAACAUGUUUUAUAGUGAGACCCAAAGUGCUCAGUCUAUUUAGCUUUCUAAAGGGAAGGUUAAGGUGCGAGUUGAUCUUACCUUAUGAGCACUUAAACAGGGGAAGAAAAAUCUGGUAAUAGCAGGCUCUUCAAUCUACCAGACAAAGAGAUAAGAGCUAUGAACAGAAGGUGAUGGGAAACAUAUUCAUGAAUGAAGCACAUUUUUGUAGUAAAGAAAAUUGCCUGUUUAAACAGCUUAUCAAGGUUUGUGGUAGUUCACCAUUACGGGAUUUUUUAAAAACAAUAUCAGCUUUUUUUUUUCCCCUCAGAGAUACAGUCUGGCUGUAUCUUUAUCUGGCUAUAUCAUUAAGGGUAAGAUCCCAGUGUACAAUAGCCUUCAGUCUGUGCCAGUGCCACUUCACCAAGAAAACUGCUUAAUGCACUUUGAAAGGAGUCGGGCUGCAAAGUAACAUGUGCAAUGUGGCCUACUGGGAGACCGAGACCGAGGCGUGGACAAGUGCAUCUGUAGAAGUGGUCCCAUAGUGCCUUGAGGUCUCUGACCCAAGGGUAAAAAACUAUUAAAGAUUUGGAUCAGAUGAAACAUCUGUUUGCAUGCAGUAAUUGUGGAAGGGACCAGAUAUGAUCCAGACAGGAGGCACAAACAGUAGUAUGAAGAAAACAAUGAGAUACGUUGCUCUUAAAUAUAAGCUUUGUUUUCUAGUGCAGCUAAUUGCCUGACAAGGUAGUAACAAUGAUUAAUCUUCACCAAAACAUGGAUAUCACCAUCAAUUAUUUUCUUUAUUUUUGAGACUAAUGGACCCACAACUGCAUACAUUUAUUCUUAGGCAUGGUUUCGGCUACUGCAACUGCUAUGGGGCUGUCAAAGCUGUCCAUCACACAGCCCCCCUCAAGUAUCAGAAGUUUUAUUACUGCCACAUUGGUUACAACAGUAAGCAGUAUGCAUUCAGAGCCUCAGUGGAAAGGACUCAGUGGCACUAGUCGUCUCAACAGUGCAGAAGGAAGUGCACAUGUAGGUGUCUGCAGGAGCAGAAAGGAAGGAAGGUUCUGAACCUUUACUAAAAUUGUACAUGUAACAUUAUUUUCAUUAUGUUUUUCAUACUCUAAUAAAGGAUUGAAUGCAGAUGCUUAGUGCAGUAUAAUCAUAUGAUCAAUAGUAUUUUCUGUUUCAAAAAUGUUAUAGUCAAAGAUCCCAAUCUUUUCACGGCUCUUAGCCACUCUAAACCCCUUGAAAAUAGAGUGGGGUUCUGUGCUGAAGUUGCAGACCAUUCUAGCAUCAUAGCUUGCAGCAUCCGUAAGCUAAAAAUGGGGGCUUACACCCAUAAAAUACUUCAACUGUAUAAGUCAAUGAAGUGCAGCUUGGAAGAAAUACCAUUUCAAUACCUGCCUGUCAUUUUUUUGCUGUCUCCAAGGGGUUUUAUUCUUCUUUACACUGCCCUCAAAUACACCUUUUCAGCUAAAGACACAAGCAUGUGGACAGCUCUUUGUUUUGUUUUUUCUUCCAACCAAUGCUUUUGUGUAUUUCUGAAACUUAAGACACCUCCUCUGCUACUACAGUACUUAUCUGUAACACCAUCGCUCUGAGGGAUUAAAGCAGGUUACUUGUUACACACUUAGAUCAAGAGUUAUCUGAGUAGAAAGUCUAUCCCGUUAGGGUUGGCGGAAUCUGUUUUUGAUCUUGAGUUGUUUUGAUUUUCUCUGAGAGCAAGUAACAUGUUAUUUUAACUUCUGAAUAAGGUGUGCUACCUGACUGUGUCUCUUCUGUUUGGCAGAAAGGAUUAGAAACCUCCACGGAACUUGCACUCUAUUAAAGCAGAGUGCUCGCCAUUGAGAACCAAGGAGCUGAAUUGUUUUCAGAUUGUGUGUGUGUGUGUGUGUGUGUGUGUGUGUGUGUGUGUCUUUCCCACAUCAAAGACUUUGAUGGAAGCUGUUCACGCUAUUGUCAGGAAUGCAGGGACUGGCACAAAGGUGAUUAGUAAAAUUGCUUUUCUGCAGGAGAAGCUCAAAAUUUAUCAAAAGAUUAAAGAGGAUAAAAUCAAAAGGUUAUGCUGAAUUUGGGGUAAAUUUUUCCCUUUUUUUCCAGAUUAUACAUAUUGAUUUGGUUUUGCCUGUAAAAGGUAUGCCAGAAGAAAUCAGAAUUUGAACAUAUUUGAUAUGAGUUCUGUUGAAGGGCAAGGAAAAAACUUCCCUUAAAAAUAAUGCCGGCAGGCCCUAUUCUGUGUGCUUCCAGACCACAUCUGCAAAGAGUUUUUAAUGAGAACGGAAGGCAUCCAGCCAGCAGCCAUUCCCACAGCAGUCACAGGAUCAGGACCUUUAUUCAUAAUUAUGCCAAAGAUUCUGAAAACAAACCAUUUCAUAAAUCAGUUUGUCAUCAGUGAUGUCAUUUGCUUACCUUUCUCGCUACACUCAGCUGACCAAGAUACUAAACUGAGGGGAUCACUUUCAUUAUCCACUUGCUAGGCACAUGCAAUGGUUUCGUAUUUUGAUCAGCAGCUGGGCUGCUUGAAUGGUCCAAGAAAAAAGCAAUAAAAAAUGGAUUGACAAAUAUUUUAGUGUAACAAAACUAACAGCCCAACUUCUGGAAGCUCUCUCCUUUGGAAAACUACAGUGUGAUAAAAAUGUAUCACUUCCCAUAGCCAGCAGAAUUGUCUCAUCUUGCUGUUUUAGACUCUGUUUAUUGUUCAUUUUAUUCCGAGCAGUCAUCUAUUACUUGCUAAGUACUGGCCCUAUACCUAGUCCUUGGCUUUGGGUUUUGAGUUUUGUUUGUUUGUUUUGCUAAUCUGUUAUUUGCUGGAAGUCAUCUAGAUGAUUUUAUGUGUUUUUAACCUCAUUUAUCAAAGUAUUAUCUAAAGCAUCUAUUCAGAAAAUGUUCAUUUUAACUGUUUUCUCAACAAUGACCUUCUUCCUCCCCCCCAGGCCACGUCAAGUUGUCACUCACCAGACAGCUGUGGAAUUUGGAAUCAUUCCUUUUAAACACUUUACAGUUCCAAAUGGUAGAUUUCUAAUGGCACAAUAUGAUUGCCACAAAGAUCUUUAAAUUUCCCAAUCCUCCAGGCUUCAAAGGCUGGACCGUCCUUGAUCUCCUGAAGGAAUGCUUUUGAAUCUUGUGCUUUUAUAGGGACUACCUAUGAAGAUAUUUUAGGGGCUUUUUCCUUUUACACUCAGAGCCUGAGGAACUAAACAUUCAAAUUCCCACUGGCUUCUCUGAGAGGAAGAUCAAGACUUAUGAAGUUGUUUCUAGAGAUUUUCAGCUCAGUUUUCUUAAUUCCACAGGUUGUUCCAAAACUUUUUGGUGUGUUUAGAAAGCAAUAUAAGAGUAUCCUCAGAGCAGCAGUAGUUAUGGUACUCAUUUUACUCUACAUCUGCCUUCCACCUACAUGGCUACAUCAAACAGUCCCUAGCCUUCCAUGAACAAGUCUCACAGUGUCCUAACUCAUCGUGUGCCCAUGGACACAGCUGGGUCCUUUGCUCUAGAGGAUGCACUGCUCUCAUAUAUGAAGCUUCGCUUACAAGGUAAUAAUAUGGAAAGCGAGCAAGCCUACUUGUACUGGCAGUUUUGGAUCUGCCUUGACCAGGCAACCAAGACAGAGCCUAAUCAUCUGCACCAGUUAGUUACAAAUUCACAGGCUCAGAAUUACGAGAGUUCGAGGCUUGCUUCAUCUCUCUUCCCCUACAGUAGAGGCAACGUUCCACUAGUAGUUCUUUCUAGCACAGUAGUCUUUUUUCAGUCAGUAGGCUCACAUUUUCUAUUUCUCACUGGUUAAUUCUGUCUUUCCUUAUCACUGAAACUUCAAAUGGCUGGAUUUCUGUUAAGAUUUAUAGCGUAGCCAAGCCAUGAGGCAAAUUCUGCCCUCAACACCAGCCUCUUCCAGGAUGGAGGGCUUGAGAGUGAGAUGGGAGUAUUCAAGGGAUCUGUUAUUAGUGAAGCACAUACAUUUAGUCAACAGGUAAAGAAUGUAUAGAAUAAGUUAGCCCUCUGUCCAUACACUGAGGGCUCUAGUCCUGCAAUAGGCUACCACGUGUGUGCGAGGUCCCACCUAGCAGAUUCAUCUGCAGGUUUGGGGCCCUCGGUUGUAAAUUCCUUGGGACAAAGUACUGUGUCUUCUACAUUGCUACAGUAGCUCAUGUGACAUGACCUCUGCUGUGAUUGCAGACUCUCAGGUAUUAUUAUAAGUAAUAACUAAUGAUCAGUCACUGUGGUAAGUAUAUGUUUAGAUAUCCCAUAUUGCUAAUGCAUGUGAUUUUUAAAUAGGCCUCAGCCUAAUCUCAGCUUUUGUGACAACAACAAACUGCAGGAACAACUAAUUACUACCCCGAUUUAUGGGUCAGGGAACAGGCCUUAGAUCCUCAUUUACACAAGUUUCUUAUGAUCAUGCAAGGCCUACCUCUCCAAUGCUAUUUUUUGUUUGUUUGUUUAGAUCAGUUAAAAAAAAAUCCCACAUCCCAAAAUAGAGAAUGUUUUCCUUUGGAACUGGAAGCAAACACACUUGAUGGCUUUAACAUCCGCUGGACAAUGCGUGGAUGGGAGGUUUGCAAUGAACUCAUCAUUCUUAACAUGCCUGAAUUAUUAGCAGCAUUAUAUUGAAAUGCAGCUCGAAAGACAAAGCAGCCAGGCUGAGCAAGACACCUGCAAUUCUGCGUAAAGAAGAAAGGGCUUCUGACUUCCAAACCUCAUUUGUGACUCUUGAAACUGAAUUUACUAUUAUAUGAUGACUGGCUAGUCACAAUGCUUCUCAUAGAUCAUUCCCCUCACCUAUAGCCAUGCUUCAGCUGUUUGGCGACUGCAAGCCUUGUAACUGCAUUAGUAACAGCAGGAAGAAAAUACCUUUUAAAAAAGGGUGGCGCGGGAGGCUGACAGUGCUUUUUCCUGAUGCUUAUCUCUCUUCAUGCACACAAACAUACAAAUGUGCUUUUUCAGCAGGAACCUCUGCACAAGGAAUCAGUGAAGACAUCUACUUGUGUGUUAUUAUUUUCCGGCGCUCGCUCUGAAGUGCAAGGCCCAUUUGCUUAGUGGAUGUCCCAACAGGUGUUUGGCGGUGCAGGUGUGUGCGCGGGCAGAGCCCUGAGCACAAGCACAGACAAAGAUUCAAAUACCAGGGCCUUUCAGGCUGAACCUGACACUGCCACUUUAAAAUCAGAGACACUAACAUCAAAGUUUUCCACUCCCCAGAAGGAAUGGACUAUUUUGCACCCUUCCAAACGAUGUCUCUCAUCUCUCUGCCUUUCCUACAGCCUUGUUUCUCUCUCUCUCUCUCUCUCUCUCUCUCAUACACACACUUUUUCUAAUACCAUCCCUCCCUCUCCACUUCAAACCAUGGGAAAAACCUAGGAAAAGAAGCUUGCCGACUAAGGGACCGUUUCGCUGCAUUGUGUUUUCCAGCUAGACCUGAACAGACUGAAAUCAAUUCAGCUCUCUCGCUCUCUCUCUCCCUCCCUCUCCCAUGUCUUUUUUUGUUUCUCUUAGAUCGUACUCUCUGCCUUAAGAAAGCCCAGUUUAGCUAUAUCCAUCCCCAUAGCAAUCAAGUGACCAGUAGUUUUUAUUGCUUGUAAAAACACAGUAUCUUUUUCAUGGGAGUCAGGUUUUCCUUUGGUUCAAAAUGCCUCGUGAGCAGUGGUAACAAUCCACAGAAUCUUUGAUCAGUUCUCACAUAUCCAUUUUAAGUAUCUUUAGUAGACCUGUCAUCAGAAAAAUUAAGAGCUUAGUAAUUAAUAUUUUAAUAUAUUAUGUCACCCUCUCAUUGCAUUAUUGGCAGGAGGCCUGAUUUAACAGAAACACACACAAAUAUCUGUAUCUGAUCUGAAUCACUACAUGCUCUAAAAAAUAUACAUUAUUAAAGUUGAAGUCCAGCUGUUGCUAUAUUAA